rnacentral:rRNA from 1 species
GACGAACGCUGGCGGCGUGCCUAAUACAUGCAAGUAGAACGCUGAAGGAGGAGCUUGCUCUUCUGGAUGAGUUGCGAACGGGUGAGUAACGCGUAGGUAACCUGCCUGGUAGCGGGGGAUAACUAUUGGAAACGAUAGCUAAUACCGCAUAACAGUAGAUGCUGCAUGACAUUUGCUUAAAAGGUGCAAUUGCAUCACUACCAGAUGGACCUGCGUUGUAUUAGCUAGUUGGUGGGGUAACGGCUCACCAAGGCGACGAUACAUAGCCGACCUGAGAGGGUGAUCGGCCACACUGGGACUGAGACACGGCCCAGACUCCUGCGGGAGGCAGCAGUAGGGAAUCUUCGGCAAUGGACGGAAGUCUGACCGAGCAACGCCGCGUGAGUGAAGAAGGUUUUCGGAUCGUAAAGCUCUGUUGUAAGAGAAGAACGAGUGUGAGAGUGGAAAGUUCACACUGUGACGGUAUCUUACCAGAAAGGGACGGCUAACUACGUG